rnacentral:rRNA from 1 species
GUGAGGAAUUUUCCGCAAUGGGCGAAAGCCUGACGGAGCAAUGCCGCGUGAAGGAUGAAGGCCUAUGGGUUGUAAACUUCUUUUCUCAGAAAAGAAUUAUGACGGUAUCUGAGGAAUAAGCAUCGGCUAACUCUGUGCCAGCAGCCGCGGUAAGACAGAGGAUGCAAGCGUUAUCCGGAAUGAUUGGGCGUAAAGCGUCUGUAGGUUGUUUAAAAAGUAUUCUGUCAAAGAUUAGGGCUUAACCCUAGAUAGGCAGAAUAAACUUUUAAGCUAGAGUUUGGUAGAGGCAGAGGGAAUUCCCGGUGGAGCGGUGAAAUGCGUCGAUAUCGGGAGGAACACCAAAGGCGAAGGCACUCUGCUGGGCCAAUACUAACACUGAGAGACGAAAGUGAGGGGAGCAAAUGGGAUUAGAAACCCCGGUAGUCC